CCGAUGAACAGCGAAGACCCCCACGUAAGUUAUAUUUUAAAAAUUUCACAUAGACGAUAUUAGAAAUACUAAAAUAGUAAAAAUAAAAUUUUUGAAAUGGGUUAUACUCAUAAAUAAAUAUAUAAAUAAAAUAAUGCGUCUCACAGUGGUCUGAAUUUAGCUUUCCUCAGGUCAAUUUUAAAAUUAUGUCAGAUAUUCAUUUCUAUAAAUUUACUUAAGAUAAUCCGAAUUCUUAUCUUGCAUUUUCCCCAACACAAACCCGAUUAAAUACCCAUAUAAGUAUGAAUAAAAUAUAAAAAAUUUCAACAAUUCAAACAAUUAUAUUUUUAAAGGAACGUGUAUACAUAAUUGAAUGUUUUUUUUUUUCUAAAUUUAAUAUAGAUUCUACAGUACAGAGAAGUUCACUACUAUAGCUUUUGAAAUGUAUUUGUGCAAAAAUUCAGUUAUUAAUAUUAUUAUCGAGUCUAUGAAAAUAAAAAUCCGACAGAAAUCUUAUAUUUUCCUAUCAUAGACAUAAUCAAAUUUUUAAAAAAUUUAACCAAGUUUUGUACUUUAUUUUUACAAAUUCUAUAUUUUCCAUAAAUAUUGAAAAUAUUAAUUAUAUUCGUAAUAACGACGUUGGUAAUUUUUUUAUCAACUUCCCCCCCUACUAAAUUUUUAUUUUGUUUACGUGAUUCCAAGAUGUUUAAUUUAUAAUUCGAAACCUGUCGUAUAAUACCCUGAUUAUUUUACUCCAGGCGACGCAUUUAUUCGUUUUUUUAUUUUAUAUUUCUAUAAGUAAAUUUGUGUUUAUAUAUUUAUUAAAAAACCUGUAAUAUUAUAAGUUAGUGGCUAAUUCGAUACCGUAUUACAUUUUCAAUCAUUUCCGAAGGAAAAUAAAUUGUCACCCAAACUAACCUAAUAAAACAAUNACACUGAGCAUUCAAUACGUUUUUUUGUUGACCGUCGCGGUACGACUCUGUCCGUAGUCUUGCCUUUUGUCAGUGUUUCAACUGCACUGGCAUUGGUCGCUGAAAUCUGAUUGUUAGCCAAUUGUACCUUGUCCAAAUUAAUAGUAUACCCGGCGGCGAGCGAAAACACGUCCAUUUUCGCGCAUCGGUUCCCACUUCCAGUUACCGAUAUCGCUUAAUCAAUUUAACCACCGAUGAAUCUCGCCACCGCCAAUAUACGUGGUAUACGACAAACAUAGAAAACAAAUCAUCUAUACAAUUUUGUAUUAAUAUCCUUACCAUGUACACGUAUUUUCUCCCACAAGUGUUCUGUUUUAAUGUAAAUAAACGCUGAUUUUUACCCUGUUUCAAAUUUGACUGGUUUAAUUAUCUCCCAUUAAAAUCUACAUUUCACUGGCCAUGCCGGAUCCAUAAAUCUGCCCAAUACCGGGACAAUUUUGAGUAUUGUAGAAUAGCCCUGGAAUAAAGUACGAAAAAACCGUCGAACGUUCGCUAACAGUCUAUUUUUGCAAAAUAGAUAGAUCAAUAUAAUAUAAUAACUCUGUAAUAGAAUACCUAUAUGCGUGUUCUCGCAUAACCUGGAUGCAAGGACAGACGUAAAAGGUUAUCACUUGACUAGGCAAUAAUAUGUUGUUGUCGAAAACGCGUACUUCGCAUAUCUAACUAGAAGGGAGUGGUCCAGGGUAUAUAAACCGGCCGGCUCAAUCGUCUUUACAGACGAGUCUUACCACUAUCAAGUACAAGUAUCUUCACGCCCCAUAGACUUGUGAUUAUAUUAAAAGUGUUAUCACUGGACUACACAUUAACACUCAAUAUUUUUCAACUAAAAUAAAUAAACCCUUAUAAUUAUUGUGUUUGUUAUUUCAACUUAAACCUGAGUUUAAAAGUACGCCUGCAACACUAAUAAUUUUUCUUUCAAUAGGUCUGUCUGGAACAGCUGUUUUGUUGUUUUAGUGUUGCAUAUUAAUUAAUGUAUAAUUUAAAGAAUAUAAUUUUCAAAGAAAAAUUGAUGAUAUUUUUAUUAUAAUAAAAUAAUAAACGUUUUUCUGUUAUAUUUUGAUACUAUUUACUUUGUUAAAUUAUAUAAUACAAAAUUGUUUUGUUACCUAUUGAUAAUAUUCCUGUUUUUCAUUUGUAUUCCUCUAGCCAACGGAGGGCAAUAACAACCACGUAAGUUAUAUUGUAAAUAUUUCAUAUAGAAUUUAUUAAAAAUAAUAAAAUAAUAAAGUUAAAAUUAAAUGAUUAAAAUGUUUUAUAUUCAUAAAUAAAUAUACAAAUGAAAUUUAAAUAAAAUGAAAGAAUGCGUCCCACAGUGGUCUGAAUUUAGCCGAUUUAAUUCAAGCUAAAUCUUGCCUUGAAUCAAUUUAAAAAUAGCAUACACAUUACUCAACAAAAACCUGAUUAAAUAUCUAUAUAAGUAUAAAAAAAAUAUAUAAAAUUGCAUAAGUAAAAAUUACAUUGUCGUAUCGCUAAUCAUAUUUUAAAAUUAACGUUUCGAAAAACUCACCCUCCUUUUGAAAAUGUUGCUCUGUUUAAAUUUAAAUGUAACUACAAUCAAUUUUUUAUUAAUAAGUCAAAUUGAAAUUUUAAAAUAAGAUAUAUAGAACACUUUUUUUAAAUAAGAUUAAAAAAGUCUGCCUCUUAUCAAAAUUUCGUUAAACAUGUUUUAAAUAUAACCAUAAUAUAAGUUUUGAUAUUAAUACAGAUUUAUAAAUAUUAAAUACCCAAAAUUAUAUUUAAGUUAAUUCAGUAUUAGAAUAAUUACACGUACAUUAUGAGGUAAAAGAUAAUAAUUUUAAUAAUAUAUAAAAUGGCCAAGUCGAUUUUAAAAAUAAUAAUUUAUAUUUCUUAACAUUAUCUAUUGCUAAUAAUAAGUAAUUUUAUUACAUAUAAUAUUAAGAAACGUUAGUUUCUUAAUUAUUAUUAUUAAUAAUCUCACUAAAUAAAAUAAUGUUUUUCUAUGUAAAACGACCACUUUGUAUAAUUUUUAUUCUAUCUACUCCGUCAUUUAAUUUUCUAUAUUCAGUCGCGUUUUACAUUUUGAUUGUGAUAUACCAGCUGAAAGGCACGUAUACAGGGGAGAGAGGGGUUCAAAAUUUGUAAAAUUUGCAAAAUGUUGCGUAAUUCAUUUAUAAAUAUUGAUAAUAUUUAUUAUAUUCGUAAUAAUGAUUAUUGUAACCAGGCGACGCAUUAAUUCAAUUUAUUUACAGAGGUGGCCAAAAGUCGCGCAACAAAUUUGCAACACAGUUUUUAUAAAACUGUUGUGUUUUAUGUUAAAUAUGUUGUUUUUUUAUUAACCUUGCUGUUGUUGUACGUAAACAAUAUAACGAGACCAAAGUUACAAUAUGACGUAACGGAAACGACGUGGAGGGAGAAACUGCGCCGUAACGCGCGUUCCGUACAAGACGGUAGGCAUUGCGUGACUUUUGGCCACCUCUGUAUUUUAUAUUUGUAUACAAAAAUGUUUAUUUAUAUAUUUAUUAGAAAGCUUAUAAUUUAAUAGGAUAGUAUCAAUUCGAAGGGUACUGUUUUGCAUUUUCACAUAUUAACAUAAUAUUAUAUGGACUAAAAUUAAGAGAAAAUAAUAUCUACUAAUUAAUUCAUACUUUUUAUAAUAGUGCGUAAUUCAUAGGCAACAAAUGUAUUAUAAAUCGUGGUAAAUAAAUCAAAUAUACACAUUAAUUAGAAAAAAAAAUAGAAGAUAUUUAUUUUUAGAAUAAAAAAAACAAAAUGAUUUCAAGGUCUAAACACAAACAUAGACAAAUUAAUGUACAACUUAAUCAUAUGUCUUCGCUUUUUCUGUAAUGACAUGCUUCCAAUAAAUUUUUAAAACUGUAACAUGUGGUAAACAGGCACAACUAUAUAUAAUAUUCUAAGCUUUUUGUUGAUAUUUUAGAUAAAAUGUUUGUGCUGUUUAGAUAAUAUUAUUAUAACACUGAUAAUGUUAACAUUAUUUAACAGUAGCAUAUAUAAGAAGGGACACAGUGGUUUAUAGAUUUUCAUUGUGGGAGUAUUGUGAUCAUCUCGCAGAAUGAACAUUGUCUUAAAUAUUAUCUAUUUAAUUAAUUCAAUUUAUCAUGCCUCAAUUAUUGAAAUAUAUGUUUUAUUUUUGAAAGAGUUAUUUUUAUGGCUGUAAUAGAGGUACAUAUGCAAAAAAAUGACCAAUUUGUUACUUAAUAUUUACAGUAAAUACUAUUUUAUGUAUUUUUGUGAAAUGUGAAAUACAUUUUAGUUGACAUUUUUUUUUUUAUAAAAUUAGCAAUUACUGUAAUAUUAUUAUUUUUUUUUUUUUACUCUAGUGCCACGUAAGACCCAAAGUAUCAAUUUCAUUACAACAAUAUUACAAUUUUAAAGUUUGAAUAUAUAAACUUGAAUACAUAAACUGAACCGGUAUAAACAUGUUAGUGUAACAUGAUAUUUACUAUUUCGCACUCGAAUUUUAUUUACUAAUAUUUAAUUAAGAUUUACUAUAAUAUUAUUGAUACUUCUUUUAAUAAUAUUAUAAGUUCAUUAGCAAUAAGCAUGUAUUAUUGUAAUAUUGCAUACAUAUUAUCAUGUAUGUAAUCAAUUUAAUAAUAUAUAAUGCGUUCGAUAC
rnacentral:lncRNA from 1 species